GACGAACGCUGGCGGCGUGCUUAACACAUGCAAGUCGAACGGAAAGGCCCUGCUUUUGUGGGGUGCUCGAGUGGCGAACGGGUGAGUAACACGUGAGUAACCUGCCCUUGACUUUGGGAUAACUUCAGGAAACUGGGGCUAAUACCGGAUAGGAGCUCCUGCUGCAUGGUGGGGGUUGGAAAGUUUCGGCGGUUGGGGAUGGACUCGCGGCUUAUCAGCUUGUUGGUGGGGUAGUGGCUUACCAAGGCUUUGACGGGUAGCCGGCCUGAGAGGGUGACCGGCCACAUUGGGACUGCGAUACGGACCAGACUCCUACGGGCGGCAGCAGUGGAGAAUAUUGCACAAUGGGCGGAAGCCUGAUGCAGCAACGCCGCGUGCGGGAUGACGGCCUUCGGGUUGUAAACCGCUUUCGCCUGUGACGAAGCGUGAGUGACGGUAAUGGGUAAAGAAGCACCGGCUAACUACGUG
rnacentral:rRNA from 1 species